rnacentral:lncRNA from 1 species
CGGGCGGGGGCGCUCGGCGCCUCUCCGUGUACUUUUCAGGCCUCUCAGUUGGAAAUCGGCUGUAGGGGCCUGGCUUUAUGUCACAAAAGGGUUUUGAUCUUUACCUUGGGCUGGACGUUUUUCAGGUUUUAAAUUUAAACUUAUUUGCCGCGACUUUAUUUUAAACAUAUAUGAGUAUUACCUCAUUAUAAAAAAAAUGAAUCAUUCUUCAAAGGCAAAAGGUACUGGUGCUCCAAAAUCUAAUAAACAACACUCAGGAAAAAGCCACACAGCACGUUUGCCACAGGUUGCAAAGGAAAAGCAGAUACCAACCCAACAAGAGAUUUUGGCUCAAAAAAUACAGAGAGCGUGGCUUAUUCAUUUGAACAAAACAAUAUUUCAUCUCCUAAAACACACUAUUUGUGCAGCGGAGUAUUGCGUGAUUCAUGGAAUACUGAAGAAUGUGAGCCCCUUGGAAGCUGGAAUUGUUAAAGACCCUAGCAUGAAGUAUAAAGUCAGAUUCAGGUAAUAUGUCUGUGCUGCUUUCUUUCACGGAGUACUUCAUUCAUAAGGAGAGGUCUUAGAAAUUAGUUUUUUAAAUCUUCACAACUCCCCAGGCUGGAAUUCCAAAGUAAAUG